UGAGGAAUAUUGGUCAAUGGACGCAAGUCUGAACCAGCCAAGUUGCGUGCAGGAUGACGGCCCUAUGGGUUGUAAACUGCUUUUAUAUGGGGAUAAAGUGGGGAACGUGUUCCCUUUUGCAGGUACCAUAUGAAUAAGGACCGGCUAAUUCCGUGCCAGCAGCCGCGGUAAUACGGAAGGUUCGGGCGUUAUCCGGAUUUAUUGGGUUUAAAGGGAGCGUAGGCCGUUUGGUAAGCGUGUUGUGAAAUGUAGGAGCUCAACUUCUAGAUUGCAGCGCGAACUGUCAGACUUGAGUGCGCACAACGUAGGCGGAAUUCAUGGUGUAGCGGUGAAAUGCUUAGAUAUCAUGAAGAACUCCGAUUGCGAAGGCAGCUUACGGGAGCGCAACUGACGCUGAAGCUCGAAGGUGCGGGUAUCGAACAGG
rnacentral:rRNA from 1 species